GGCAGGUCGUGUGGUUUACCACUUCCUGGUUUGCCCGCACAUCUAGGCUUCAAAAGGAACACUUCUGGGCUGGCGGGAUGACCGUGCUCAGUCAGCGUUUUACUGCGGUUAAGAACCGAGAAAGAGCUGGGCUGAGGGAAACCAAAGGGCUAUCACAGCUAGACCACCAGGCAGACUACCAGCACACAGACUGGGAUCUGUUCAACCCUUCGCUCCCAGACGGUGAUGGUGGCGCUCUAGGAGCCAGCCAACUGUUAUUGGAGUUUAUGAUCCCUGUGCCAAAGGAGGCACACAUACCUGGCCAUUAGGUUGAACGUCAGAGAGCAAACUUCCACUGUUUACAGUAGUUUACAUCAGAUGAGGUUAGAAGGAG